CUCUUGACAUCCAGCGAACUUCCAGAGAUGGAUUGGUGCCUUCGGGAACGCUGAGACAGGUGCUGCAUGGCUGUCGUCAGCUCGUGUUGUGAAAUGUUGGGUUAAGUCCGCAACGAGCGCAACCCUUAUCCUUUGUUGCCAGCGAUUCGGUCGGGAACUCAAAGGAGACUGCCGGUGAUAAACCGGAGGAAGGUGGGGAUGACGUCAAGUCAUCAUGGCCCUUACGAGUAGGGCUACACACGUGCUACAAUGGCGCAUACAAAGAGAAGCGACCUCGCGAGAGCAAGCGGACCUCAUAAAGUGCGUCGUAGUCCGGAUCGGAGUCUGCAACUCGACUCCGUGAAGUCGGAAUCGCUAGUAAUCGUGGAUCAGAAUGCCACGGUGAAUACGUUCCCGGGCCUUGUACACACCGCCCGUCACACCAUGGGAGUGGGUUGCAAAAGAAGUAGGUAGCUUAACCCUCGGGAGGGCGCUUACCACUUUGUGAUUCAUGACUGGGGUGAAGUCGUAACAAGGUAAGCGUACGUGU
rnacentral:rRNA from 1 species